GUAGCUUCAAGUCUUUCGACGAAGAUUACUACACCAUUGUAGCUAAAAGAAGAGGAUUAUUCCAAUCUGAUUCAGCUCUUCUUGAUGAUGCUGAAACAAGAGACUAUGUCAGAUUUCAGUCAAGGACACAGGGAUCCACCUUUGCACAAGAUUUUGCUGAAUCCAUGGUGAAAAUGGGUUACAUUGGAGUCCUGACCGGCAAACAAGGCGAAAUCAGGAAACGUUGUGCUGUUGUGAAUUAAAUCGAUAUUUAAUUUCAUUUUCCAUACCUGAGUUGCUUGUAACGAAGUUGCAUAUUGUUCAUGUUUGAGUUGUCUUUUAUCUGCCUCUACUUUCUAUCUUUUUUCGCACUUGCAACCCAAAUGGUUGCAGGAUGUACUUAAUAAUUUUGAGGUUGUGCCAUUCCUUGUAUUUUAGUGAUUUAUUCAAUUUCUUCUAAUGAAUAUUACAACUUUCAUUAUUCUCUUAAUAUUGUAAUAUCUGCUACAUUUUGUUUUUGAAUAUUCCAGAAAAAUUCUUCCUUCUUUGAAUCACAUUCAUAUCAUCUUGCACCAAAUCCAAUAACUACAAGAUCCAUCAUCCUGAGUUAGUAAAUGAGAGUGUUCUGUGCAUUUAUAGGCCAUGAUUAUAUGCAGGAAGAGCAUCCCAGCAACUUAUCCAACAGCUCCACUGGAAUUAACAUAGUUUUACAGCAAGUUCAGUUUGGAAGAACAUUUUUACAAGUACAACAAAAUUAAUUAGUUUCAUGAAGUAAUUUAAUACUCAGGUUGGUAAUCCAUGCAAAUUUUCAUCAACCAAAUGUCUCUUAACUACAUGUCUAUGGAGGUGAGAUCAGCUAACUUAUUUAUCUGGCAAUGAUGCAAAAACAAUGUCCCAAAUCCGAUUCACACAGCCACCCCUUGGAACUUGUAAGUGCCCCAAUCUUCAAUGUAUUUUCCUGAAACGGCAAGAUUUCCAAACUUUUUUUCUUGUAUUUCAUUCACUUUAUUCUCACACAGCACCUGGAGUUAGAACCAAAAAAAGAAGAAGCAAGAACACAUUAUAUGUUGCUCAGUCAAUAUGCUUCUAUCAGGGACACUUCUGAUUUUCACUCCUGACAUGGUGACAGCAUUGAAUCUAACCGUUGGUUUAUCUGAUCAGGAUGUAAGAAGCAAGAACGCAAUAACCUGCAGGUUGGGAUUAGAAGCAGUGGAAACCUGUAUGCAGGCGAACUAUCUAUUGGAACAACAUUAGUCUUAUCAGCAUGCGCGCCUAGACAUGCUCGCACGCCCGUAUGCACUCGCGCGCGCGCGCACAGAUUUGGAGAAUUUCCUAAAACCAUUUUUUCUUCUAAAGCACCCACGACGCUUCAAUUAUAUGUAUUUUGAUCAUAAAAUAGAAGGAGAAUCGUAUCAUGAUUUUAACUUUCUGUACAUUUCUUUAAAUGUUUUAGAUGUGAUUAAAGAGAUUCCUGUCAUUGUGAGCAGGAAGUCAUUUAAAUUUUCUUUUAUGAUAAAACUAUUAUAUAUACAGGAAUAAAGUGUGAUCUGAGUUCCCUUAAUUUGUUUUAUAGCUUGCACCACUACUUCGAAUUCGGGUCGAGCUUACGUUAACCCAACUUUGGCUUCAAGGUCUGAAUAUUAGAUCCUCGAAAGAGUAAGAACAGUUUGCUUGCCAUUGUCAGCACGCCACAGAAACAAAGCACCUGUAAAAAACCCAGGCUAGUUAGGUCGAAAUCAAGAAGGGUGCGGUGCCAGCCAAGUUUCUUCGUAAUAUGAAAUGCACAAUCUUCGCCAUUUUUGGUAGCCACUUUCACAUCAAGCCGUUCGUCUUGCUGUUUGAUGUUGUCUGCAUUCUUAAUCAUCUGAGAUCCUUGCAUUCUGAGUUAUUCAAGGCUCUAUAAUCUCUUCAUUUUUAUAGAAGAGUGGGAACUGAUCAGAAUUCCCUAGUGGGUUUCCAUGCAGCGUGUGACAGUUAAUUAUUGAGCAGUUUUUUUCUGUAACAAAAGCGUAGAGUGAAUCCUGCUUAUUACACACGCAUGAUGUAAAGUCUUGUGUGUUUCUUCUGUCUUGAAAGGGCAACAUAAGUUAUUGGUUCAGCUAAAGAGUCUGAGAAUGGUCGAUGCACGUAUUUCUCACGUAUAUGGUUUCUUCGAAGCUAACAGAAGACAUGGUCUUGUAAAGUAUCAUGUGUCUGGGCGGAUAUUAACAAUAUUGCACGACCAGUUCCAGUUAAUACAAUAAUGCUUAAUCAAUAAAUAUUCAUUUAUUAUUAAAACAGCUAUGUUCGAUAGUACGAUUUCCUACCAACUCCUAGAAUCAAUAAUUAAAAUGCCAAUUAUAUUCAAUGUUGUUAAUAUGAUCAGUUCUUCACAAUCAAGUAAUUAAAAAUUCAGAUUUCACUGUCCUAUUUGUAGCGGCAGAACUCAGAAAACUUGAAAUAGCAUGUUAAAAUACUAUAAAAUUAUUCUUGAAACCUCUUUUUUCAUAAAGGUCAACAAGAGAGAAAUCAGAACAAGUCAUGGCAAUGUAUACUUAGCAGAAAGUCGUGUACGGCUUUCUUUAAACCUAGCAUUGACAUAUAAUAUUUCGUUUCGUGAGUAGGUCUUUGUUCUUGAGAGCUUGGUUGUUGUAAUAUCCUGAAAGGUCACACAGCAGCAUCUAUAAUCUAUGCCUGACUGCUUUGCCAAAUUAUUUUUGGUGGGUAGCCAAUGGGAGAAUGUUUAAUGCAAGUUGAGCUAUAUAUAAUUUAAACGGUUGAGUGUAGGCUAAGAUUCUGUUAACUAAUAUUUUCUGGGCAUGUUUUGAUAUGAACUCCACUCAUUCUAACGUAAAUUCUUCCAUUUAGACGUGCUUGAACCUUUUAUUCAAAUACAAUACUUCCCCUACCAUAAAACUUUCAAAUUUGUACGGAGUUUAGAAAACAUAUUUUAGAGGUUUCGAUAGUUUUUCUUUGCAAGUUUGCUGAUGUUUUUCAAUUUUCUCUCUCUUAUAUAUAUGCAUUAUUUAGCAAUGUAAAAUAUUAAUCAAACUGCCAUUUGAUUAGUUAUUAAUUUGUUGUGGGUCAGCUCUUAAAUUGUUGACUUUAUCAUAUAAACACCAACAAUUCGUAACUAAUCAAAUGACAGUUUGUGCAAAGACACUGUCAAAGGCCUUAUCUCAACUAUAAAAUGCCAGCAGACUUGUGUUCCUCACAAUCUCAUCCUUGAAGUACAGCUUCAAAACUUCACUCAAGGGAAAAUGGCAAUUCAAAAGCUUUUCGUGGUCUGCUUUCUUCAACUCGUUUUCGCCUUUUUGCUUGCAGGCCUCACUAAUGCAAGGGGGCUGCAACUUGGAUUCUACCGGAGAGCAUGUCCUGAUGCAGAGCUUAUAGUCCAUCAAACUCUUUAUCGUUACAUCUCUAGGGACCGAACCCUUGCUGCUCCUCUGCUAAGAAUGCAUUUCCAUGAUUGCUUUAUCAGGGUAAGCUUUUAAGCUAAAGUCCUAGCAUGCAAUUUACACAGUAUGUAUCUGAUAUCACCAUCAUCUCAUUGUUACCUUGCCACAAAAGCACUUGGAAAUCAAGCGUUUUCAUCUUGUUUAGGAAACCACACAAUUCCAUAUCCUAACAAGUUAUGCUUUCCAGGGAUGUGAUGGUUCCGUGCUCCUAAGUUCUACAAAGAAGAAUCAAGCUGAGAAAGACGCCAUCCCAAAUCAAACCUUAAGAGGGUUCAAUGUCAUUGAUGCUGUAAAAUCAGCUCUGGAAAAGAAGUGUCCUGGUGUGGUUUCCUGUUCCGAUAUCUUGGCCCUGGUUGCUCGUGACGCAGUUCUAAUGGUAUCAAAUUUUCCAACACAAUCUGUAACCACUCAUUAACUGCAUCACUAUGCCUCUGCUUAACCAGUUUUUCUUUUCAGAUUGGCGGACCACAUUGGGAUGUCCCCACAGGACGCAGAGACGGAAGAGUGUCGAUUGCCAACGAGGCUCUAUUCAAUUUACCAUCUCCUUUCGCCAACAUAACUGUCCUCAAACAACAAUUUGCUGCAACGGGUUUAAGUGUAAAGGACCUUGCAGUUCUAUCAGGUAGUUUUCGUAACAAAAAAAAGCUAUCUGUUAAGCAAAAUAGCAGUGUGUUUACUUGGAAUAUGUUUUGGUGACAGGAGGACACACCAUAGGAAUUGGACACUGUACCUUAAUCUCGAACAGGUUGUACAAUUUCACAGGCAAGGGAGAUACCGACCCUUCAUUGGACCCAAGAUACGCUGCUCAACUGAAGAAAAAAUGCAAGCCUGGAAACUCCAACACAGUCGUUGAGAUGGACCCCGGUAGCUUCAAGUCUUUCGACGAAGAUUACUACACCAUUGUAGCUAAAAGAAGAGGAUUAUUCCAAUCUGAUUCAGCUCUUCUUGAUGAUGCUGAAACAAGAGACUAUGUCAGAUUUCAGUCAAGGACACAGGGAUCCACCUUUGGACAAGAUUUUGCUGAAUCCAUGGUGAAAAUGGGUUACAUUGGAGUCCUGACCGGCAAACAAGGCGAAAUCAGGAAACGUUGUGCUGUUGUGAAUUAAAUCGAUUUUCUAUUGAUUUCCUGAACAUGCACGUGUGAUUUCAUUUGUAUCUGUUUCAUUUAUUUUCCCCCAAAUUUGCAACCCAAUUAGUUGCAGGAUGUACUUCAUAAUUUGAGGUUUUCCCUCCAUGUUAUUUCUUGUGAUUUAUUCAAUAUUUCCUUCAUACGAAUAUAAA
rnacentral:lncRNA from 1 species